rnacentral:rRNA from 1 species
AUGGCAAUAUUGUCCCACGCCAGAGAAUCGAGCUUUAAAGAAAAGGGCUACCAUUGCUACAGUAAUCAGAUGGGGCGGCACACCAUUGAACGCUCACCUGAGGAGGUGGAUGCAACGCCAAAGCUCCUCCAAACCGCCGCUGUUAUCGGAGGCCCUUCCUGGUCCUUCCAAGCCAAGAACAAAGCCAUGUCGAGAUUCCAAUCUCAUCAGCGACAGGUUAUGUUACAUACCGAUCGGACUAACUUCCCCAACGGCACCAGAGCUACAACUAAGCGAAACAGAGACAAACAUGGAGGGGAUGACCAAGGCACCACGGUUGCUAUCUUGACGAUGCAGGGCACCACACCAGCAAUGGCAAGGUAG